rnacentral:rRNA from 1 species
AUUGAACGCUGGCGGCAGGCCUAACACAUGCAAGUCGAGCGAGCGGCGGACGGGUGAGUAAUGUCUGGGAAACUGCCUGGUGGAGGGGGAUAACUACUGGAAACGGUAGCUAAUACCGCAUACCAUCAGAUGUGCCCAGAUGGGAUUAGCUAGUAGGUGGGGUAACGGCUCACCUAGGCGACGCUCCCUAGCUGGUCUGAGCGGAUGACCUGCUAUAGUUGAACUGUGAAACGGUCCAGACUCCUACGGGAGGCAGCAGUGGGGAAUAUGGCACAAUGGGCACAAGCCUGAGGCAGCCAUGCCGCUUGUGUGAAGAAGGCCUUCGGGUUGUAAAGCACUUUCAGCGGGGAGGCGUUACCCGCAGAAGAAGCACCGGCUAACUCCGUGCCAGCAGCCGCGGUAAUUC